rnacentral:rRNA from 1 species
AGAAAAAUAGAGGCGAGGUACUGACCAUGUGGCUCAGAUUGAACGCUGGUGAUGCUUUACACAUGUCGAACGGCAGCAUUGACUUCGGUCUGUGGCGAGUGGCGAACGGUGAGUAAUGUAUCGAACGUGCCCAGAAGGAUAACUACGCGAAAGCGUAGCUAAUACCGCAUACACUUGGGAAAGCGGGUGACCUUUCGCUCGCACUAUUAGAGUUGCGGCCGAUAUCGGAUUAGCUAGUUGGUGGGGUAAUUCUGCCUCACCGCUGUUGACGAUCCGUAGCUGGUUUGAGAGGAUUACCAGCCACACUGUGACCGAGACACGGCCCAGACUCCCACAGGAGGGCAGCAGUGGGGAAUUUUGGACAAUGGGGGAAACCCUGAUUCAGCCAUCUUGGCGUGCGGGCGAUGCCAUAUUUUUUGUUGUAAAGCGACGGCGCGGAAAGAACGGUGGCACGCAGAUAAUACCCUUGUGCAUUCCUGACGGUACCUGCAGAAUAAGCACCGGUUAACCAUACAAAGAGCAGCGGUAAUACGCAGGUGCGCGUUAAUCGGAAUUACUGGGCGUAAAGUUGCAGCAGCAAGUGCUCGAAAGAAAGAUGUGAAAUCCCAGAGUUUAACUUUGGAACUGCAUUUUUAACUACCGAGCUAGAGUGUGUCAGAGGGAGGUGGAAUUCCGCGGGUAGCAGUGAAAAUGCGUAGAUAUGGAGGAACACCGAUGGCGAAGGCAGCUCUGGGAUAACACUGAUGCUGAAGUGCGCACGAGCGCGGGGAGCAAACACGCAGAUUAGAUACCCCGGCAGUCCACGCCCUAAACGAUGUCAACUAGUUGUUGGGGCCUCGGGCCUUUAGUAGCGCAGCUAACGCGUGAAGUUGACCGCCCGGGGAGUACGGUCGCAAGAUUAAACUCAAAGGAAUUGACGGGGACCCGCACAAGCGGCGGAUGAUGCGGAUUAAUUCCUGAUGCAACGCGAAAACCUUACCACCCUGACAUGUUCGGAAUCCCUAUACAGAUUUCGGCGUUUUCGCAGAGAAACUGAACACAGGGUGCCGCAUGGCUGUCGUCAGCCCGUGUCGCAGAUGGGUUGUCUCAACGAAAGCGCAAAACCCUUUGCUCACAGCCGUUACGAAAGGCGAAUUUAACGACCGCUGGUGACAAACCGAGUGAAGGUGGGGAUGACGCCGCGCCUCAUGCGGUCUUAUGGCAGGGCUUUCACACGUCAUACAAUGGUCGGGACAGAGGGUCGCCAACCCGCGAGUGGGGAGCCAAUCCCAGAAACCUGAUCGUAGUCCGGAUCGCAGUCUGCAACUCGAUCAGUGAAGUCGGAAUCGCUAGCAUCAUGGAUCAGCAUGUCAGGUGAAUACGUUCCCGGUCUUGUACACACCGCCCGUCAAGCACCGCUGAUGGUUAUUUAUAUUGAAUAGCCUAACCGUGGCGAGGGCGCGAUACUACGGGUAGGAUCUGAGAUUAGUGAAGUCGAAUAAGGUGCAAUUC